UACGUAGGGCGCAAGCGUUGUCCGGAAUUAUUGGGCGUAAAGAGCUCGUAGGCGGCUUGUCACGUCGGAUGUGAAAGCCCGGGGCUUAACUCCGGGUCUGCAUUCGAUACGGGCUAGCUAGAGUGUGGUAGGGGAGAUCGGAAUUCCUGGUGUAGCGGUGAAAUGCAUUGAGAUCGGAAAGAACACCAACGGCGAAAGCACUCUGCUGGGCCGACACUGACACUGAGAGACGAAAGCUAGGGGAGCAAAUGGG
rnacentral:rRNA from 1 species